rnacentral:lncRNA from 1 species
AAGGGAGGGCUCAGGGUAGCCGCCUCCUUCCUCCCCCCACCAAAGAAUCCAAAUCUCCCUUGGGGUGGGCCACACCCUGCCGCCACCUUGGCCUUUCCUGCAGGUGGGGCAGGGAGUCUCAUUCCAGCUUCAGGAGGAGAAAGCUGAGGCUCAGAGAGGGCAAGGGGCUUGGCCAGGACCACACAGGCUCAGGGGCAGGACUUGGACCCAGGCCUCCGGAGGCUGAAGACAGAGAGGCAGCAGGAGUGGGUCCAGCCAGGUCUGGGGCUGGGCAGUGAUGCCGGGUCAAUCCUACCCGGCUCAGGGGGUGGUAAGGGCCAGCCAUCUGGCCCACGAAGCUGGGGAGGGUGGACAAAGGACAGGGCUGGGGGAGCAGCAGAGGGGCCCCUGCAAGUCCCUGAGUCCGUGUCCUGCCAGGCUGUGAAUCCAGGGGAACUGGCUUUGACCAAGGGAGCAACGUGGUGAAUGCAGGGGCCCCAGGAGCUCAGAGCAGGUGUCUAAACAUUGCAGUCUUGUGAAAACGUAUCUAGGUUUAGAUUAGCUUUAUUUACCCUGCUUGAUACGUGUUGUGAUUUCUAUGCGUGUAGAUUCAUAACUUGUACCAUUUCUGGAAAAUUCUCAGCCGUCAUCUCUUCAUUGGCCACUUCUCCUCCAACCCCGCCCUCGGGGACUCAGGUCAGACCUGCUCUUUUCCGUGUUUUCCGUGCCCCUGUGCCGCGUUCUGAGCGAUUUCUUCAUAUUUCUCUCCCAGCUCUGCCCUCCAGCUAAUUCUCUUUUUUGUCUAAUCCGCUGUUUAAGGCCCUCUGCAGUGAGAAUUUAAUUUUUAAAAAUUGUAUAUUUAAAGGCUACGUGUUCUAAUUAAUUUGAUUUUAAUCAACCUGACCAAUUUGCCUGCUCUCUUGUUCCCUGCUCACUGGUUUUAUCCCGUAUUUUAUAUUUCUAAAAGUUUGAAACUUGGUGGUUUUAUAUUCUAAGAACUGAUAGCAACUACCUGCAGUCCUCCGUGUGGGGCGGGGUUAGGCUUACCUUUCUUGUGCAUUAUUUCAGUUCUCACUCGGUGUGUGCCUGUGUUUUGUAAAUUGAUAUAUUAUUGAAUUGAAGCUGGAAACCCAGAAAGUUCUAAAUAGAGGAUGCUUUGCUUCACUCCAAAGGGAAUUUGCACUUGCUUCAGCCAGGAGUCAGGUGCCUGGAUUAAUCUCGGAGAGACAGCAGUGAGUGACGGCAUGGAACGAGGUCUUAAUUCUCUGCCCAGGAAUUGAACCUGGGCAGCCUGGAUGAGAACCAGGCAUCCUAGCUGCUGGGCGGGCUAGAGACUAGAAUUGCCCCGAUUCUUGCCCCCUGUUGAAAGCAAGAAUGAUUCAAGGGGAGUUCCCGUCAUGGCUCAGUGGUAAGGAACCCAACUAGUAUCCAUGAGGACGAGGGUUCCAUCCCUGGCCCCGCUCAGUGGGUUAGGAUCUGGUGUUGCUGUGAGCUGUGGUAUAGAUGGCAGAUGCGGCUCGGAUGCCAUGUUGCUGUGGCUGUGGUGUAGGCCGGCAGCUGUAGCUCCGAUUUGCCCCCUAGCCCGGGAACCUCCAGAUGCUGCCGGUGUAGCCCAAAAAAGACAAAAGACCAAAAAAAAAAAAAAAAAA